rnacentral:rRNA from 1 species
GAUGAAUGCUGGCGGCGUGCUUAACACAUGCAAGUCGAGCGGUAAGGCCCUUCGGGGUACACGAGCGGCGGACGGCUGAGUAACGUGUGGGAACAUGCCCUAAAGUGAGGAAUAACUGCCCGAAAGGGUGGCUAAUGCCGCAAAUGAUCUUCGGAUUAAAGGAUUUAUCCGCUUUAGGAGUGGCCUGCGUACGAUUAGCUUGUUGGUGAGGUAAUGGCUUACCAUGGCGACGAUCGUUAGCUGGUCUGAGAGGAUGACCAGCCAGACUGGAACUGAGACACGGUCCAGACUUCUACGGGAGGCAGCAGUGAGGAAUCUUCCACAAUGGGCGAAAGCCUGAUGGAGCAACGCCGCGUGCAGGAUGAAGGCCCUCGGGUCGUAAACUGCUUUUAUGAGUGAAGAAUAUGACGGUAACUCAUGAAUAAGCACCGGCUAACUACGUGCCAGCAGCCGCAGUA